GAGUUUGAUCCUGGCUCAGGACGAACGCUGGCGGCGUGCUUAACACAUGCAAGUCGAACGGUAAGGCCCCAGCUUGCUGGGGUACACGAGUGGCGAACGGGUGAGUAACACGUGGGUGACCUGCCCCGCACUUCGGGAUAAGCCUGGGAAACUGGGUCUAAUACCGGAUAGGACCGCACCGUGAGGGUGUGGUGGAAAGUUUUUCGGUGUGGGAUGGGCCCGCGGCCUAUCAGCUUGUUGGUGGGGUAAUGGCCUACCAAGGCGGCGACGGGUAGCCGGCCUGAGAGGGUGGACGGCCACAUUGGGACUGAGACACGGCCCAGACUCCUACGGGAGGCAGCAGUGGGGAAUAUUGCACAAUGGGCGGAAGCCUGAUGCAGCGACGCCGCGUGGGGGAUAACGGCCUUCGGGUUGUAAACUCCUUUCACCAUCGACGAAGGUUUUCUGACGGUAGAUGGAGAAGAAGCACCGGCUAACUACGUGCCAGCAGCCGCGGUAAUACGUAGGGUGCGAGCGUUGUCCGGAAUUACUGGGCGUAAAGAGCUCGUAGGUGGUUUGUCGCGUCGUCUGUGAAAUUCCGGGGCUUAACUCCGGGCGUGCAGGCGAUACGGGCAUAACUUGAGUACUGUAGGGGAGACUGGAAUUCCUGGUGUAACGGUGACAUGCGCAGAUAUCAGGAGGAACACCGGUGGCGAAGGCGGGUCUCUGGUCAGUAACUGACGCUGAGGAGCGAAAGCAUGGUAGCGAACAGGAUUAGAUACCCUGGUAGUCCAUGCCGUAAACGGUGGGCGCUAGGUGUAGGGGUCUUCCACGACUUCUGUGCCGUAGCUAACGCAUUAAGCGCCCCGCCUGGGGAGUACGGCCGCAAGGCUAAAACUCAAAGGAAUUGACGGGGGCCCGCACAAGCGGCGGAGCAUGUGGAUUAAUUCGAUGCAACGCGAAGAACCUUACCUGGGCUUGACAUAUACGGGACCGGGCCAGAGAUGGUCCUUCCCUUGUGGCUCGUAUACAGGUGGUGCAUGGUUGUCGUCAGCUCGUGUCGUGAGAUGUUGGGUUAAGUCCCGCAACGAGCGCAACCCUUGUCUUAUGUUGCCAGCACGUAAUGGUGGGGACUCGUGAGAAACUGCCGGGGUCAACUCGGAGGAAGGUGGGGAUGACGUCAAAUCAUCAUGCCCCUUAUGUCCAGGGCUUCACACAUGCUACAAUGGUCGGUACAGUGGGUUGCGAUGCCGUGAGGUGGAGCUAAUCCCUGAAAGCCGGUCUCAGUUCGGAUCGGGGUCUGCAACUCGACCCCGUGAAGUCGGAGUCGCUAGUAAUCGCAGAUCAGCAACGCUGCGGUGAAUACGUUCCCGGGCCUGUACACACCGCCCGUC
rnacentral:rRNA from 1 species